ACUGAGAGCUGCUACAGCAACUUCUUCACCCACAGCAGCCAUGACUUUAAUCCCCAUCUUCAUCUGGACCCUGAUCUUCUGCUCUCAAGAGUCCAUAGGUCAGGUGACUGUGACUCAGAGUCCUGCAGUGAAAUCUGCUCUUCCAGGAGACAUCGUCACCAUCAGCUGCAGGACCAGUCCUGCUGUUUUUAACAACAACUACUUACACUGGUAUCAGCAGAAACCUGGAGAAGCUCCUAAACUCCUGAUUAAACUUGUGAAUCAGCUUCAGUCUGGUUUUGCAGCUCGUUUCAGUGGUAGUGGAUCUGGAUCUGACUUCACUCUGACCAUCAGUGGAGUCCAGCCUGAAGAUGCUGCAGAUUAUUACUGUCAGAGUCGUCAUUAUAUCAGCAGCACCCACCUGUUCACACAGUGAUAUAACGCCGUACAAAAACCUCCGUCACUCAGUCCGGCUGCACAGAGACUGCACUGCUGCAGUGGGAUCUCCUGCAGGUGCUGAGAUGGAGGAAGUGAAACAACACAAUCACACACA